rnacentral:rRNA from 1 species
GUGGGGAAUAUUGGACAAUGGGGGGAACCCUGAUCCAGCCAUGCCGCGUGUGUGAAGAAGGCCUUUUGGUUGUAAAGCACUUUAAGCGAGGAGGAGGCUACUGAGAUUAAUACUCUUGGAUAGUGGACGCUACUCGCAGAAUAAGCACCGGCUAACUAUGUGCCAGCAGCCGCGGUAAUACAGAGGGUGCGAGCGUUAAUCGGAUUUACUGGGCGUAAAGCGUGCGUAGGCGGCUUUUUAAGUCGGAUGUGAAAUACCCGAGCUUAACUUGGGAAUUGCAGUCGAUACUGGGAAGCUAGAAUAUGGGAGAGGAUGGUAGAAUUCCAGGUGUAGCGGUGAAAUGCGUAGAGAUCUGGAGGAAUACCGAUGGCGAAGGCAGCCAUCUGGCCUAAUACUGACGCUGAGGUACGAAAGCAUGGGGAGCAAACAGGAUUAGAUACCCCGGUAGUCC